CUGGGCAAUUGCAGAAAGCAUUCGCAGCCAGUUUGAGAAAGUUACUCUGUUUUUAUUUCACAGGACAGCUCCACGUCAAACCAGCGGCUUGGUCUACAGGGCACCAUCAGUGUGUGGGAGGGACAGAGGAUCCAAACAGACAGUCUAAGUGAAGGACAUUUGGUUGUAUCAUACAGAAACAAUAUCCAGGGAAACAAUGAUGAUCAUCAAAGUGGGGAGAGGAGGGCACAGUUUCCCCAGGUUGCUUUGAUUGGUCUGUAUACAGCGAGAUGGGGAUGGAGGGAUAGACAAGGAAUGCCGGCCACUGGAAAAUGAUCAGAAUUGUCUCUACUGCCAAACCAUGUAAACUGUCACACUGCUAGGAGAUAAUAAGAGUUCAAAAUGUACAAAAAUCUCUAUCCAGGAUAUACUUUCUGUCUAGGAAAGGAAAAGUGCACUAAUAUUCUGGUUACAGAGAACAGUCACAUUGGAGGUGGCUGACACAGCAGAGUUCGAAAGGAAAGAGAAAUCAGUGGCUAUGGGGAGUGGGUUUGGCAAGAGCUGCCAAGCCAGCACCAGAAGGUGGGCUGCCUUCUUCUGCAAAGAGCAACCUAGGGAAGCCUUAAGAGUCCCCUCUCAGCAAGUCCCAGAAUGCCAUUCCUUCUGGCUCUGCCCCUCCAGCUGGGUGAACCCGGGCACAGCUGGGAAUUCCAAUGGUUGCCCUUAAGACCGAGAAUCCCAAACAACCCAGAAGCAGAUGUCUGAAUCUGAACCCAAGCUUCCGAUGUCUGAGUUUGCUCUGCACAGCAGAAAAUGGACUCGAUAACUCCCCUCCUCCUCCUAUCCCCUGCUGGCUCUCCCUACCCUUUUCCCCCAUCAGUACCAAUCCCUUUUAGGUCUGGUGGGGCCCUUGUGGUCUUCUCAGUGGCUAGCUAUGAGGCAACUUAAAAGAACAGAAGGAGCCUUGGCCCAGGAGGCCUCAACUCUGACCCUUAACAGCUGUGUAACUCCAGGCAAGUCACUUCCCCAUUCUAACACAAAGGUCUCCUCAUCUGCAAAAGAGAGAGAAAAAUACUUGCACCAUCUACCCCACAAAGUUGUUAGGAGGGAAGCGCUUUGUGAACCUUAAAGUGCUAAGUAAAUGAAUUAUUAUUAUCAUAGUUAUUAUUGUUUCUUGUUAGGGAAAAAGGUAAAUAAGUGAAAAAACAGGAAGUAAAAGACUGGAGGAGAGGGGGGAGACAGGAGACUGUGACAUUUAUCCUUGGGGUCUGUCCUUUGGCCAGAUUCUGCGCUUUAAGUGCCAACAUACCACCAAGUAGCAGGAAGGCCUCCACAUUCGUGCGUAAAAGAAUGAGAAAGCCCAACAAGGCAACCCAAUAAAACCAGCCAAGAAGCCAGUCCAAAUAGCUCAAAUAGAAAAAUCCCAGUUAUGAUCUUUCUGGUAGCCCAUGUUCUCCUUUAGGUUAUGUACUAUGAGCAAAAUGCUUCAUAGUUAUUUAUCAAGCUGUCUCCUCACUUCCAUCAAAGAAUCCAAUAUUUCAGAGUGGGAAGGGACCUCAGAGCCAUGGAGGCCAAUCCGGAACUAAAAAAAACAAUUUCCUCUGCAAGUUGCCCAACAGGUGCUCUUAUAGUCUGCUGAAAGAUCUCCAUUUUACCUUAAAGCAACUCCCCAUUAUUCCAAGUUUUUGCAUUCAAGAAGCUUAAAUUUGCUUAUUUGCCCUUUCUAUCUAGUAUUCCUAGUCCCUGCUCUCUGAGCACCCCAAAUAUUUCAAAACAGAUAAUCCUGACUCCUUCAACCAAUCCUCACAUGGCAA
ensembl:lncRNA